GAUGAACGCUGACAGAAUGCUUAACACAUGCAAGUCGAUGGGGAAGUGGUGCUUGCACCAUGGUAACCAUGGCGGACGGGUGAGUAACGCGUAAGGAACUUGCCUGCGGGACUGGGAUAACAGCAGGAAACUGCUGAUAAUACCGGAUAAGGUCAUUAAGCUGCAUAGCUUAGUGAUGAAAGGAGACGCCUGCGGAGAGCCUUGCGUCCUAUUAGCUAGUUGGAGGGGUAACGGCCCACCAAGGCGAAGAUAGGUAGCCGGCCUGAGAGGGUGGACGGCCACAAGGGGACUGAGAUACGGCCCUUACUCCUACGGGAGGCAGCAGCGGGGAAUAUUGGACAAUGGGGGCAACCCUGAUCCAGCAAUUCUGUGUGCACGAAGACGGUUUUCGGAUUGUAAAGUGCUUUCAGCAGGGAAGAAGGAAGUGACGGUACCUGCAGAAGAAGCGACGGCUAAAUACGUG
rnacentral:rRNA from 1 species